UGGCACUGUCAGGUGUCUGCCUGGAAGUAGAAUGCUUCGCGCGAAUCAACUGAGCCGUGUGGAGGGCGGGGCCUAAAGGAAGAGGUCCUAAUGUGGUUGGUCACUUUAGUGGCCAUUUCAGGAUGUGAAAGUGACCUCUGCAGUAACAUCCCUGCUUCUGCCAACUGGUUUUCGGUGGUUUUUUCCUUCAAAAACCAAAAGAAUAUGAAAAUACCAUCACAAGUGCUUUCUAACAUUCACCCUCCAACAGAUGCAUAGGAGAGCAACUUCAGGAUAACAUUUUGCCCAAGCAGCCAGGCGCUGAAUCACCAACCUCCUGAUUAGUAGAUCUGAUCUGCUCCGCCUCCUGAGCUACAGCCAUGUGUAAGUUCACCACUGAAAUGUUAAACUUGUAUGAAAAACUGCAGACCUCCCGUUCCCCUCCACAGGCUAUUUUUAGGUCCUAAGGAGGGUCUAAAGUUAAAGACAAAGAC